rnacentral:ribozyme from 18 species
AAAAAAGGAAAAAAGGAAAAAGAAAGAAAAGGAAAAUUAGAAAAUUAACCCAACUCGUUUGUGAAGUUGUACUUCUCAAAUCU